AUGAAUCCUAAUGUGCGCGUUACUCAUCCAUGUGAAGAGGGGAAUAGCAGGUUAUACGUCUCGGUGAGAGACUACUAUUGUUACAUGCUCCAGACACGACCUGGGAUAUUCAAUCCCAUACUCUGUGGAGCACGAUUGCUCCAACAAUGGGGGGUGGGCAUGUACAUCAAGAUUGAGAGUUGUAGGUUGAAAUGGUACAGGAAGAAUCAGACAAAGAUCCGUGCCGACCUAUAUAAAGGAGUUGUUGAUGCAAUUACAUCCGGGGAGACUCGCGCAAGCGCUAUUGGGGUAAGGAUAGUG
rnacentral:rRNA from 1 species